rnacentral:rRNA from 1 species
CAAUAGCGUAUAUUUAAGUUGUUGCAGUUAAAAAGCUCGUAGUUGGAUUUCGGAUGGGAUUUGCCGGUCCGUCGUUACGAUGUGCACUGGCCAGUCCUAUCUUGUUGUCGGGGACUAGCUCCUUGGAUUCACUUCCUGGGACUAGGAGCUGACGAGGUUACUUUGAGUAAAUUAGAGUGUUCAAAGCAAGCCUACGCUCUGAAUACAUUAGCAUGGAAUAACACGAUAGGACUCUGGCUUAUCUUGUUGGUCUGUAGGACCGGAGUAAUGAUUAAGAGGGACAGUCGGGGGCAUUCGUAUUUCAUUGUCAGAGGUGAAAUUCUUGGAUUUAUGAAAGACGAACUACUGCGAAAGCAUUUGCCAAGGAUGUUUUCAUUAA